rnacentral:rRNA from 1 species
UGGGGAAUAUUGGACAAUGGGCGAAAGCCUGAUCCAGCCAUGCCGCGUGUGUGAAGAAGGCCCUAUGGUUGUAAAGCACUUUAAGUGGGGAGGAAAAGCUUAUGGAUAACACCCAUAGGUUCUGACGUUACCCACAGAAUAAGCACCGGCUAACUCUGUGCCAGCAGCCGCGGUAAUACAGAGGGUGCAAGCGUUAAUCGGAAUUACUGGGCGUAAAGCGAGCGUAGGUGGUUUAUUAAGUCAGAUGUGAAAUCCCUGGGCUUAACCUAGGAACUGCAUCUGAUACUGAUAAACUAGAGUAGGUGAGAGGAAAGUAGAAUUCCAGGUGUAGCGGUGAAAUGCGUAGAGAUCUGGAGGAAUACCGAUGGCGAAGGCAGCUUUCUGGCAUCAUACUGACACUGAGGUUCGAAAGCGUGGGUAGCAAACAGGAUUAGAUACCCUGGUAGUCCACGCCGUAAACGAUGUCUACCAGUCGUUGGGUCUUUUAAAGGCUUAGUGACGCAGUUAACGCGAUAAGUAGACCGCCUGGGGAGUACGGCCGCAAGGUUA